rnacentral:rRNA from 1 species
GAUCAGUCAUUCUAGCUAUAAGCAUUAUACAGCGAAACUGCGAAUGGCUCAUUAUAUAAGUUAUCGUUUAUUUGAUAGUACCUUACUACUUGGAUAACCGUGGUAAUUCUAGAGCUAAUACAUGCUAAAAAUCCCGACUUCGGAAGGGAUGUAUUUAUUAGAUUAAAAACCAAUGCCCUUCGGGGCUCACUGGUGAUUCAUGAUAACUCCUCGAAUCGCAUGGCCUUGUGCCGGCGAUGGUUCAUUCAAAUUUCUUCCCUAUCAACUUUCGAUGUUUGGGUAUUGGCCAAACAUGGUUGCAACGGGUAACGGAGGGUUAGGGCUCGACCCCGGAGAAGGAGCCUGAGAAACGGCUACUACAUCCAAGGAAGGCAGCAGGCGCGCAAAUUACCCAAUCCCGACACGGGGAGGUAGUGACAAUAAAUACUGAUACAGGGCUCUUUUGGGUCUUGUAAUUGGAAUGAGUACAAUUUAAAUCCCUUAACGAGGAACAAUUGGAGGGCAAGUCUGGUGCCAGCAGCCGCGGUAAUUCCAGCUCCAAUAGCGUAUAUUAAAGUUGUUGUGGUUAAAAAGCUCGUAGUUGAACCUUGGGCCUGGCUGGCCGGUCCGCCUCACCGCGUGUACUGGUCCGGCCGGGCCUUUCCCUCUGUGGAACCCCAUGCCCUUCACUGGGUGUGGCGGGGAAACAGGACUUUUACUGUGAAAAAUUAGAGUGCUCCAGGCAGGCCUAUGCUCGAAUACAUUAGCAUGGAAUAAUAGAAUAGGACGUGUGGGUCUAUUUUGUUGGUUUCUAGGACCGCCCUAAUGAUUAAUAGGGACAGUCGGGGGCAUCAGUAUUCAAUUGUCCAGAGGUGAAAUUCUUGGAAUUUUUGAAGACUAACUACUGGCAAAAACUUUUGCCAAGGAAGUUUUCUUUUAUUCCGGAACCAAAAUUUUGGGGAUCGAAAAAAAUAAAAUACCGCCCA